AUUGAACGCUGGCGGCAGGCCUAACACAUGCAAGUCGGACGAGCGGCGGACGGGUGAGUAAUGUAUGGGAAACUGCCUGAUGGAGGGGGAUAACUACUGGAAACGGUAGCUAAUACCGCAUACCAUCAGAUGAACCCAUAUGGGAUUAGCUGGUAGGUAGGGUAACGGCUUACCUAGGCGACGAUCCCUAGCUGGUCUGAGAGGAUGACCAGCCACACUGGGACUGAGACACGGUCCAGACUCCUACGGGAGGCAGAAGGGGGGAAUAUUGCACAAUGGGCGCAAGCCUGAUGCAGCCAUGCCGCGUGUAUGAAGAAGGCCUUCGGGUUGUAAAGUACUUUCAGUCGGGAGGCGUUACCGACAGAAGAAGCACCGGCUAACUCCGUGCCAGCAGCCGCGGUAAUAC
rnacentral:rRNA from 1 species